AAUUCCAUCAUGGAAGAAGUUUUAGAGCAUGAAGGACAUUUCCAUAACCCACUGGAUCAGAUGGACUUCAUUGUUAAAACACUGAAGGAAGAUCCAGAUCUUCAGCUCUUCUUGCUGAUCCACAACAUCGAUGGGCAGAUGCUGUGAGGAGAUAAAACCCAACAGAUACUGGCACAGCUGGCUGCAAUCCCAAGUCUUCACUUCAUAGCCUCCAUUUACCACAUCAACACACCUCUAUGUCAGUAACAUGCAGCCUUUUUACUACAAGCGCCCAGCUUAAUCUGUUGGGAUACGCCCUUUCAGUUCAGUCUACAUAUUAGUUUAAGUCAGUUUCUGCUGCUCUCGGUUAAAUUAGAAGGACCAUUUUAUAACCAUUCUACACAUUUACAGGGCUUAGGACUUUCCUUCCUGUCACAUGAUAUGCUACAAAUAUUUUUGUAAAACGUCUUCAGAUCAACUGUGGCCAGUUCUGAGUUAAAUGUCGUUUCUGUCAUUUUAUUUAUUCAUCUUUUAACUUUCAAGACUACGCUGUAUGUAGUUAUAUGUAGUUAUAUUAAAAUGAACAAGAAGUCUGUCUUUUGAGAAUGUCCUACCAAUGAGAAAUGAAAUAACUUUGUUAUAUAACCCUUAUUCUUGAGUAAAAUGGAUUCCUGGGUUCAAAUAAAUCACAAGUGAAAUUUAAAUGAGGUGGUUUUCAAUGUAGCAGUCAGUGGCACAAUUGACCUAAAGAGUAAUCUGCUCUGUUAUUACCGCUGCUCAGAUACACACGGGGUAUUUUUGUUUGUUUUUACACAGCGUGGGGCCAGUUCAAGAUGAGUUUAACUGGCUGUGAUAGGAGACCACCACGUACCAGUCGUACAUCGCGGAGGCUUUGUACGAGAACUCGCUGCUCUUCAAGCAGUCUGGAGCCCUGGCGCUCAACUCGCUCACACAUGUCAUGCGCAGUCUGACGCCUAACGCAAGGGUGCAGAUGAUGUUGAGUAUCUGAUCAUACCCAUUGAGACUGGACACGGAUUUCCUGGAAAAGGAAGAUACAAAUAAAGGAACGCUGGUGGCCCGUGCUACCUAUGCAUUAUCUUACUAAUACCAGUGUGCUCAACCAUGUCUGUUUUAAACCUACUGCAUCAAACCUUGACAGAAGGUGUAACUAGCACUUUAUUGGUAGCUUCUGCAGAAGUACUAUCCAUCUUAGUGUUGUACAAUGUAUUUUGAUAGCACUUAAAGUUCUAGUACUGUAGUAAAAGUUUUCAAUAGUAGAGCAAU